rnacentral:rRNA from 1 species
GCUCACUGGUCGAGUCGGCCUGCGCGGAAGAUGUAACGGGGCUAAACCAUGCACCGAAGCUGCGGCAGCGAACGUAUCACCCAAGACAACUUUACGGAGUUGACGAUUGACGGAGCGAAGCGACGUCAAAGCGUUCAUUAAAGUCGAGUUGGCUUAGGGAUACGUUCGUUGGGUAGGGGAGCGUUCUGUAAGCCUGUGAAGGUGUGUCGUGAGGCAUGCUGGAGGUAUCAGAAGUGCGAAUGCUGACAUAAGUAACGAUAAAGCGGGUGAAAAGCCCGCUCGCCGGAAGACCAAGGGUUCCUGUCCAACGUUAAUCGGGGCAGGGUGAGUCGACCCCUAAGGCGAGGCCGAAAGGCGUAGUCGAUGGGAAACGGGUUAAUAUUCCCGUACUUGGUGUUACUGCGAAGGGGGGACGGAGAAGGCUAUGUUGGCCGGGCGACGGUUGUCCCGGUUUAAGCGUGUAGGUGUGUGUUCCAGGUAAAUCCGGUUCACUUUAACACUGAGGCGUGACGACGAGGCACUACGGUGCUGAAGCAACAAAUGCCCUGCUUCCAGGAAAAGCCUCUAAGCAUCAGGUAACACGAAAUCGUACCCCAAACCGACACAGGUGGUCAGGUAGAGAAUACCAAGGCGCUUGAGAGAACUCGGGUGAAGGAACUAGGCAAAAUGGUGCCGUAACUUCGGGAGAAGGCACGCUGACACGUAGGUGAAGUGAUUUACUCAUGGAGCUGAAGUCAGUCGAAGAUACCAGCUGGCUGCAACUGUUUAUUAAAAACACAGCACUGUGCAAACACGAAAGUGGACGUAUACGGUGUGACGCCUGCCCGGUGCCGGAAGGUUAAUUGAUGGGGUCAGCGUAAGCGAAGCUCCUGAUCGAAGCCCCGGUAAACGGCGGCCGUAACUAUAACGGUCCUAAGGUAGCGAAAUUCCUUGUCGGGUAAGUUCCGACCUGCACGAAUGGCGUAAUGAUGGCCAGGCUGUCUCCACCCGAGACUCAGUGAAAUUGAACUCGCUGUGAAGAUGCAGUGUACCCGCGGCAAGACGGAAAGACCCCGUGAACCUUUACUAUAGCUUGACACUGAACAUUGAGCCUUGAUGUGUAGGAUAGGUGGGAGGCUUUGAAGUGUGGACGCCAGUCUGCAUGGAGCCGACCUUGAAAUACCACCCUUUAAUGUUUGAUGUUCUAACGUGGACCCGUAAUCCGGGUUGCGGACAGUGUCUGGUGGGUAGUUUGACUGGGGCGGUCUCCUCCUAAAGAGUAACGGAGGAGCACGAAGGUUGGCUAAUCCUGGUCGGACAUCAGGAGGUUAGUGCAAUGGCAUAAGCCAGCUUGACUGCGAGCGUGACGGCGCGAGCAGGUGCGAAAGCAGGUCAUAGUGAUCCGGUGGUUCUGAAUGGAAGGGCCAUCGCUCAACGGAUAAAAGGUACUCCGGGGAUAACAGGCUGAUACCGCCCAAGAGUUCAUAUCGACGGCGGUGUUUGGCACCUCGAUGUCGGCUCAUCACAUCCUGGGGCUGAAGUAGGUCCCAAGGGUAUGGCUGUUCGCCAUUUAAAGUGGUACGCGAGCUGGGUUUAGAACGUCGUGAGACAGUUCGGUCCCUAUCUGCCGUGGGCGCUGGAGAACUGAGGGGGGCUGCUCCUAGUACGAGAGGACCGGAGUGGACGCAUCACUGGUGUUCGGGUUGUCAUGCCAAUGGCACUGCCCGGUAGCUAAAUGCGGAAGAGAUAAGUGCUGAAAGCAUCUAAGCACGAAACUUGCCCCGA